rnacentral:rRNA from 1 species
UACAGAGGUCUCAAGCGUUUGUUCGGAUUCAUUGGGCGUAAAGGGUGCGUAGGCGGCGCGGUAAGUCGGAUGUGAAAUCUCGGAGCUUAACUUCGAAAACUGCAUUCGAUACUGCCGUGCUUGAGGACUGGAGAGGAGACUGGAAUUUACGGUGUAGCGGUGAAAUGCGUAGAUAUCGGAAGGAACAUCAGUGGCGAAAGCGGCUUCCUGGACCAGCACCCGGACGUCAGGCACGAAAAGCGUGGGGGAGCAAACAGG